UUGGGUCCUAGCUGAAAGUUAUGGUGUAUUAUAGUUAGUAGCAAAAGGGGUGGCAGAUGUGUUAGCAAUCACAAAAUAGAGAGCCUUCAAUUUAUUGCUUUUGUAGGGGGUUCCUCCCUUCCCCUCCUGAAGUUUUGAGUUCAUAGUUUUAAUUUAACCACUUUUAGUUAGGCAUUUCCCUUCAAUCACUGGAGCAGGUAGCUUUUCUUACUUUUGAUCAGAGGCAUGCAAUGGGGUGGUGGGGGCGGCGCAGGAGAAGGGGACAGCAGGGGCAAUUUCUCACACUUCUUUGUAUUUAUUUAUUUUAUGGUAAUACAAGGUUUAUUUCUGAUUAAAAAAAUAGUUGUUAGUAGCAGACUAAUCGAGACUUACAAGAAUGGUUAAAACUUUAGUAAGGUAGUUGUAGAAUAGUUGAAGUUAUAUAUAUGGUUAAAAAUCUCUCUUACCCAUCAAAUAUAUAUAUAUAUAUAUGGUUAAAAAUGUUAAGAAUGUUUUCAUCUUGAUUGGUAAUUUUGGGUUAAAAGUAGAUUUCACUUGAUAUAGUUUCCUAUGUUGGUUUUCAAUGUUUGCUUCAGUAUGAAAUUAGUUCAUCAUGCAUGUAAUUGUCUCUUAAAGCUGUAUAUCAAUAAAAAAAAAAAGAAAAAAAAAAAGUGGAAUUGCCUCUUAGAAUUUUUAAGUGUUCAUGAAAUUGCUUAUUCAUUCAUAUUUUUUACAAUGCAUACCAGUUCUUCCUCAAUUUAUUUCAUGGGAGUGUAGUACCUUAUGGUAAUGAUAUGGUACCCUACAUAGGUCCAAAAAAGGAAAAAAGAAAAAAUCAAUAAUAAUAGAAACUGUCUGGCUAUAUGAAACGAGUUGGCCAUUGUAGUUGCAUUGUAUGCAUGGAAUUUAAAUAUUAAAUAGAUAUUUUUUUGUCUGUUGUGUCGUAAUUAUCUUGCAAGGUGCUUCUGCUGCUAGAAGGCAUAGAUUGUUCUAUAACAAGAUCCUGGGUAAUCCUUCCAAUGGGUCCUAUCCUAAGGUGUUUAUUUUUCCAAUUAUGGUUUGCAGCAAGAAGUUUUUGGGUUAUUGUGUGUUUUUUGUUUUGUUUGUUUGUUACCCUUCUAAAGGUGUGGUUGCAUUUUACUACUACAAUGGGCUGGUCAGACAAUUUUAAUACUGUGGUGUCUGUAGGGUACUUUGCCAUGAGUUUAAUUGCCUUAUUAUCAUCACAAUGUGCUUCAAUUUAGUUUCUUAUCCAGUAUUAGUAUUUAAUUUCAGUUUUCUUUCACUUCUUGGAUUAUUAUGAUCUCACAAAUUUGAGUCAUAUUUUGCCACAUGACAGGCCCACUACAUGUUAGGACUUGCAUUAUUACAGAGGGAAGAAUAUGCUGAAGGAGUGAAGGAACUUGAAAAGGUAUGAGAUGAUCCAUGCCCUGAAUUGUACUUGAAUAUUCUUUUUUAUCAGUGUUAUUUAGUUCUUGAAUUUUUUUUCUUGGCAGUUUUGGACAACUCACAUGAUGAAAUUCAUUUUUUAUUUAAGUACUGGGAGUAAUUUGUUGGUGAAAUCAAUAAAAUUUUGGACCUAUUCAUUUGUUUAACAAUGGAAUCAUCUGAAAAUAGCAUAUCCUUGUCAUUUUAGGAAGAUAAUAUAUUAUUUAUGGUAGUGAUAUUACCUGUAAAAAUUUUAAGAUCUUGUGAUGGGGGAAAGCCUUUUAAAGUUUAUUCAAGGAAGAAAGUGAAGACCUAAGUAAACUUUAAGUAGGAUUAAUAUUAAUUAGGAUUGAUAUUUCUUGGAGUCUAAUUAGGAUUAGCUAGUUGAGUUAUAAUAUAAUUAGAAUUUGAGUCAUGAUAGGUUAUUAGAGUCCUAGUAUACUUUGGAUUUCUUAGAGAAGCCUAUAAAUAGGCUAAUCAAUGUAAAUCAAAGGAAUGAAUUUGAUGAAUAAUAUUAUACUUUCUAUCAUUGCAAGGUUGCAAUCCUCAAUGGUGAGACUCCAUUGAUUUUCUUCUAAGUGAGACUCCUAGAAGGCCUUAGUGAGACUCUAAGGUUUUCCAUCUUUUCUUUAUUGUUUCUUCUUUCUCUCUAUUUCUUAUCUUAUAAUUUUCUCUACCAUAAAAUUUAUUCCUUACUCCUCUCCUUACACCCUAGAAAUAAAACCCUACCCCACCUACCCUUGAGUGUAGGCAACCAUCCUAGGGUUGUCCUACAUCAUCUUGACCAUAGUAAAAUUGGAAAACUAGGGACAGGGACAUGGGGACGUAAAAAAGGAGAUCCUAUCAACUUGUUCCGACCUAGGAUAAUAAGCUCAUGGCUUGGUCUUACUUCACCGUGAAGCAAUGGAAGAAGACUUCCAUCUCCUAGUUGCUUUGUGUUUCAAUAUUCAUUAAUAAUUGUUUAGUUCUAUUAUGGCAAUAAACUUUUUUGCCCCCUUUUUGCGUAGGCAGUAUGGAGAGAAACUUCUGAAUCUAUGGUUUAAGGGUUGAGUAAUACUAAAACUAUCUAUGGUCAAGAGUCACUUAAAAGUGAUUUGAGUAAUACUAAAACUGUGGAAUAUAUCUUAAACUAGUCUAUGGUCAAGUGAUUGCUUUUGAUUAUUUGGGAUCAAUCAUGCACAUUGCUAAGC
rnacentral:lncRNA from 1 species